AGUGAACGCUGGCGGCGUGCCUAAUACAUGCAAGUCGAACGGAGUGGCGCACGGGUGAGUAAUGUAUAGCUAAUCUGCCCUACACUAGAGGACAACAGUUGGAAACGGCUGCUAAUACACGAUAGUGUAGGAUGAGGCUAUAUUGUAUCAGCUAGUUGGUGAGGUAAUGGCUCACCAAGGCUAUGACGCAUAACUGGUCUGAGAGGAUGAUCAGUAUCGCUGUAACUGAGUCGCGGUCGCGACUCCUUCGGGAGGCGGCAGUAGGGAAUAUUGCUCCAUGGGGGCAACCCUGAAUCGGCAACGCCGCGUGGAGGAUGACACUUUUCGGGGCGUAAACUCCUUUUAUUAGGGACGCGUUACCUAACGAAUAAGGACCGGCUAACUCCGUGCCAGCCGCCGCGGUAAUAC
rnacentral:rRNA from 1 species